CCCUUAGAUGUUCUGGGCUGCACGCGCGCUACACUGAUGCGCUCAACGAGUUUUAACCUUGCCUGGAAAGGUUGGGUAAUCUUUUUAAAACGCAUCGUGAUGGGGAUAGAUUAUUGCAAUUAUUAAUCUUCAACGAGGAAUUCCUAAUAAGCGCGAGUCAUCAGCUCGUGCUGAUUACGUCCCUGCCCUUUGUACACACCGCCCGUCGCACCUACCGAUUGAAUGGUCCGGUGAAAUCCUCGGAUCGAGCCGUGGGGCAACUCCGGUUCGAGAAGUUGAUUAAACCUUACCAUUUAGAGGAAGGUGAAGUCGUAACA
rnacentral:rRNA from 1 species